AGAGUUUGAUCAUGGCUCAGAACGAACGCUGGCGGCGUGGAUAAGACAUGCAAGUCGAGCGAGAUUUUUUCCUGUAGCAAUACAGGGAAAAGUCUAGCGGCGAACGGGUGCUUAACACGUGGGCAACCUGCCAAGAAGUGGGGGAUAGCUCGCCGAAAGGCGAAUUAAUACCGCAUGUGAUCAGAGAGGACAUCCUUUCGAAAUCAAAGUCGGGGCAACCUGACGCUUCUUGAGGGGCCCGCGGCCUAUCAGCUAGUUGGUGAGGUAACGGCCCACCAAGGCUUUGACGGGUAGCUGGUCUGAGAGGACGACCAGCCACACUGGGACUGAGACACGGCCCAGACACCUACGGGUGGCAGCAGUCGAGAAUUUUUCUCAAUGGGGGAAACCUUGAAGGAGCGACGCCGCGUGGAGGAUGAAGGUCUUCGGAUUGUAAACUCCUGUCAUUGGGGAACAAUGCGUGACGGUUAACUGCCGUCGCGUUGAUAGUACCCGAAGAGGAAGAGACGGCUAACUCUGUGCCAGCAGCCGCGGUAAUACAGAGGUCUCAAGCGUUGUUCGGAUUCAUUGGGCGUAAAGGGUGCGUAGGCGGCGCGGUAAGUCGGGUGUGAAAUCUUGGAGCUUAACUCCGAAACUGCAUUCGAUACUGGCGAUCUUGAGUCCGGGAGAGGUGAGUGGAACUCCGAGUGUAGAGGUGAAAUUCGUAGAUAUUCGGAAGAACACCAGUGGCGAAGGCGGCUCACUGGCCCGGUACUGACGCUGAGGUGCGAAAGCGUGGGGAGCAAACAGGAUUAGAUACCCUAGUAGUCC
rnacentral:rRNA from 1 species